UGAGGAACAUGACCUUCGGCGGGGGAUAGCCGGCCCAACGGCCGGGUAAUACCGCGUACGACCACAUGGGGACAUCCCUGAGUGGUGAAAGCAGCAAUGCGCCGAUGGAGUGCCUCGCGGCCUAUCAGCUAGUUGGUGAGGUAACGGCUCACCAAGGCGACGACGGGUANCUGGUCUGAGAGGAUGGCCAGCCACAGUUGGGACUGAGACACGGCCCAGACCUCGUAACCGGGGAGG
rnacentral:rRNA from 1 species